UAUAAGGGAUUUUGAGUUUUUAUUUGUAACGUUUGACCACUCGUCUUAUUCAAAAUUUUUUGAAAUUAUUAUUUAUUUUAUUUGUGACUUACUUUAUUAUCCACAGUACUUUAAACACGACUUUUCGUUUUUUAUAUUUAAAAAAAAUUGAAUAAAACGAGUGGUUAAACGUUGCAAGCAAAAACUCAAAAUACCUUGUAGG
rnacentral:pre_miRNA from 1 species